rnacentral:tRNA from 4 species
GGAGGAUUAGCUCAGCUGGGAGAGCACCUGCCUUACAAGCAGGGGGUCGGCGGUUCGAUCCCGUCAUCCUCCACCAUAU